rnacentral:rRNA from 1 species
GUAGGGGUGCGAGCGUUGUCCGGAAUUACUGGGCGUAAAGAGCUCGUAGGCGGGGUUUGUCACGUCGUCUGUGAAAUCCCUCGGGCUUUAAACCCGGGGGGCGUGCAGGCGAUACGGGCAGACUUGAGUACUACAGGGGAGGCUGGAAUUCCUGGUGUAGCGAUGAAAUGCGCAGAUAUCAGGAGGAACACCGGUGGCGAAGGCGGGUCUCUGGGUAGUAACUGACGCUGAGGAGCGAAAGCAUGGGUAGCGAACAGGAUUAGAUACCCUGGUAGUCCAUGCCGUAAACGGUGGGCGCUAGGUGUGGGGUCCUUCCACGGACUCCGUGCCGUAGCUAACGCAUUAAGCGCCCCGCCUGGGGAGUACGGCCGCAAGGCUA